UGGGUGUUAUCAUGGAGUAGGACAGAUUUGCUGUGAAGCAAAGAGAAGAGCAGGGGAAGGGUGAAGUCUGCACUGGGCAGAUGAUGCCCCCAAAUGCAUUCCAGCAGAGGACCUGUGGAUACUUUUCUCUGGUUUUACACCCAACAUUCUAGAAACUUGCUCUUGAAACACAGAAGCACAUUCAGGAAAUGUUAAAUUUCAUAUUCAUCUAGAAGAGGAGAUUGUUGCAAAGGAACCUAUCUACUUGUUUCAAGUUCUCAAUAGGAG